UACAGAGGGGGCAAGCGUUAUUCGGAAUUAUUGGGCGUAAAGGGCGCGUAGGCGGCUUGGCAAGUGGAAGGUGAAAUCUCCGGGCUUAACCCGGAAAGGUCAGCCGAUACUGCGGGGCUAGAGUGCAGAAGGGGCAACUGGAAUUCUCGGUGUAGCGGUGAAAUGCGUAGAUAUCGAGAGGAACACCUGCGGCGAAGGCGGGUUGCUGGGCUGACACUGACGCUGAAGCGCGAAAGCUAGGGGAGCGAACGGG
rnacentral:rRNA from 1 species